GAGGGUAUAGCUCAGUGGUAGAGUGCAUGACUAGCAUGCAUGAGGCCCUUGGUUCAGUCCCAGUACCUCCA
rnacentral:tRNA from 1 species